ACCCAAGCCUUCUGGCGAUCUACACAAAACAAGUCCUACCGUGGGCUUUGAAAAACGCUUUCCUUUAUAAAAUUAAGCGUUUUAUAAGAGGAUGCCGGGGAAGGUUUUCCGGUUUAUCCCGGAGGGCUUGUAGCUCAGUUGGUUAGAGCGCGCGCUUGAUAAGCGUGAGGUCGGAGGUUCAAGUCCUCCCAGGCCCACCAAUUUAUCCAUUACUUUCAUAAGUACUUUUAAAGAAUAAGUAUUUUUAAAAAGAUCGCUUCUAAAAAGCUUAUCAAAAUUGGCAGGCUUAUUGCUUUUGUAUGCGUAAUCCAAAGUUAAAGAAACGGAAUGGUAAGCAAGCAGUUCAAAUGCUAAAAUGCUAAAAAGUUACAAUUCCUUGCAAAAUGAUUUUUGCAGUGUCCAUUUGGUUGAUACCAAUUCCCAAUACUCAUGGACGUUAAUGCCCAUAUAAAACAUAUCGGUUAAAUCAUAUCACUUUAGAUUAUAUACGUUUUGUAAUCCCUCUUUUAAUCGUUUUAAACACUUUAAUCCUGUUUUAGGGGCCGUAGCUCAGC
rnacentral:misc_RNA from 1 species